GGAUGAACGCUAGCGGGAGGCCUAACACAUGCAAGCCGAGCGGUAGAGAUUCUUCGGAAUCUUGAGAGCGGCGUACGGGUGCGGAACACGUGUGCAACCUGCCUUUAUCUGGGGGAUAGCCUUUCGAAAGGAAGAUUAAUACCCCAUAAUAUAUUGAUUGGCAUCAAUUGAUAUUGAAAACUCCGGUGGAUAGAGAUGGGCACGCGCAAGAUUAGAUAGUUGGUGAGGUAACGGCUCACCAAGUCUACGAUCUUUAGGGGGCCUGAGAGGGUGAUCCCCCACACUGGUACUGAGACACGGACCAGACUCCUACGGGAGGCAGCAGUGAGGAAUAUUGGACAAUGGGUGAGAGCCUGAUCCAGCCAUCCCGCGUGAAGGACGACGGCCCUAUGGGUUGUAAACUUCUUUUGUAUAGGGAUAAACCUUUCCACGUGUGGGAAGCUGAAGGUACUAUACGAAUAAGCACCGGCUAACUCCGUGCCAGCAGCCGCGGUAAUACGGAGGGUGCAAGCGUUAUCCGGAUUUAUUGGGUUUAAAGGGUCCGUAGGCGGAUCUGUAAGUCAGUGGUGAAAUCUCACAGCUUAACUGUGAAACUGCCAUUGAUACUGCAGGUCUUGAGUAAGGUAGAAGUAGCUGGAAUAAGUAGUGUAGCGGUGAAAUGCAUAGAUAUUACUUAGAACACCAAUUGCGAAGGCAGGUUACUAUGUCUUAACUGACGCUGAUGGACGAAAGCGUGGGGAGCGAACAGGAUUAGAUACCCUGGUAGUCCACGCCGUAAACGAUGCUAACUCGUUUUUGGGUUUUCGGAUUCAGAGACUAAGCGAAAGUGAUAAGUUAGCCACCUGGGGAGUACGAACGCAAGUUUGAAACUCAAAGGAAUUGACGGGGGCCCGCACAAGCGGUGGAUUAUGUGGUUUAAUUCGAUGAUACGCGAGGAACCUUACCAAGGCUUAAAUGGGAAAUGACAGGUUUAGAAAUAGACUUUUCUUCGGACAUUUUUCAAGGUGCUGCAUGGUUGUCGUCAGCUCGUGCCGUGAGGUGUUAGGUUAAGUCCUGCAACGAGCGCAACCCCUGUCACUAGUUGCCAUCAUUAAGUUGGGGACUCUAGUGAGACUGCCUACGCAAGUAGAGAGGAAGGUGGGGAUGACGUCAAAUCAUCACGGCCCUUACGCCUUGGGCCACACACGUAAUACAAUGGCCAGUACAGAGGGCAGCUACACGGUGACGUGAUGCAAAUCUCGAAAGCUGGUCUCAGUUCGGAUUGGAGUCUGCAACUCGACUCUAUGAAGCUGGAAUCGCUAGUAAUCGCGCAUCAGCCAUGGCGCGGUGAAUACGUUCCCGGGCCUUGUACACACCGCCCGUCAAGCCAUGGAAGUCUGGGGUACCUGAAGUCGGUGACCGUAAUAGGAGCUGCCUAGGGUAAACAGGUAAUAGGU
rnacentral:rRNA from 1 species